CCUACGGGAUGCUGCAGUGGGGAAUAUUGGACAAUGGGCGAAAGCCUGAUCCAGCCAUGCCGCGUGUGUGAAGAAGGCCUUCGGGUUGUAAAGCACUUUCAGUGGGGAAGAAAGCCUUGGGGCUAAUACCCUCGAGGAAGGACAUCACCCACAGAAGAAGCACCGGCUAACUCCGUGCCAGCAGCCGCGGUAAUACGGAGGGUGCGAGCGUUAAUCGGAAUUACUGGGCGUAAAGCGCGCGUAGGCGGUCUGAUAAGCCGGUUGUGAAAGCCCCGGGCUCAACCUGGGAACGGCAUCCGGAACGGUCAGGCUAGAGUGCAGGAGAGGAAGGUAGAAUUCCCGGUGUAGCGGGGAAAUGCGUAGAGAUCGGGAGGAAUACCAGUGGCGAAGGCGGCCUUCUGGACUGACACUGACGCUGAGGUGCGAAAGCGUGGGUAGCAAACAGGAUUAGAUACCCCUGUAGUC
rnacentral:rRNA from 1 species